CCUACGGGUGGCAGCAGUGAGGAAUAUUGGUCAAUGGACGAGAGUCUGAACCAGCCAAGUAGCGUGAAGGAUGACUGCCCUAUGGGUUGUAAACUUCUUUUAUAUGGGAGUAAAAUGUUCCACGUGUGGGAUUUUGUAUGUACCAUAUGAAUAAGGAACGGCUAACUCCGUGCCAGCAGCUGCGGUCAUACGGAGGAUCCGAGCGUUCUCCGGAUUUAUUGGGUUUAAAGGGAGCGUAGGUGGAUUGUUAAGUCAGUUGUGAAAGUUUGCGGCUCAACCGUAAAAUUGCAGUUGAAACUGGCAGUCUUGAGUACAGUAGAGGUGGGCGGAAUUCGUGGUGUAGCGGUGAAAUGCUUAGAUAUCACGAAGAACUCCGAUUGCGAAGGCAGUUCACUGGACUGCAACUGACACUGAGGCUCGAAAGUGUGGGUAUCAAACAGGAUUAGAUACCCGAGUAGUC
rnacentral:rRNA from 1 species